rnacentral:misc_RNA from 1 species
AACUCUCAACCCCCUUGUUUUAUAAUGAGACAGGCGUGGGCUUGGAUUAUGGCUGCUGCCGGCGUAAAUGUCGACUCGGCUGAAAUACACGAGCUACCCAUUUCUAAGAAAUAGACGGUUUGACUCGGCGUAAUAACAUAUUUCGCUGAGGACGUCACAUUCUCAAUAUUAGUGGUGCUUCUAAUGCGACAUCUAAAUUUAAGC